AGAGUGAACGCUGGCGGUAGGCCUAACACAUGCAAGUCGAACGGCAGCACAGGAGAGCUUGCUCUCUGGGUGGCGAGUGGCGGACGGGUGAGGAAUACAUCGGAAUCUACCUUUUCGUGGGGGAUAACGUAGGGAAACUUACGCUAAUACCGCAUAAGACCUUCGGGUGAAAGCCGGGGACCUUCGGGCCUGGCGCGGAUAGAUGAGCCGAUGUCGGAUUAGCUUGUUGGCGGGGUAAAAGCCCACCAAGGCGACGAUCCGUAGCUGGUCUGAGAGGAUGAUCAGCC
rnacentral:rRNA from 1 species